rnacentral:rRNA from 1 species
GCUUGAGCACGUAGGUGGGUUUGUAAGUCAGAUGUGAAAGCCUUCUGUUCAACGGAAGAAUUGCAUCUGAAACUACAAGUCUUGAGUGUAGGAGGGGAGAAUGGAACUUCUGGUGGAGCGGUGAAAUCCGUAGAUAUCAGAAGGAACGCCGGCGGCGAAAGCGAUUCUCUGGCCUAUUACUGACACUCAGUGUGCGAAAGCUAGGGGAGCAAACGGGAUUAGAUACCCCGGUAGUCCUAGCCGUAAACGAUGGGCACUAAGUAGUGGGAAUUACCGAUGUUCCCUCUGCCGUAGCUAACGCAUUAAGUGCCCCGCCUGGGGAGUACGGCCGCAAGGCUAAAACUCAAAAGAAUUGACGGGGGCUCGCACAAGCGGUGGAGCAUGUGGCUUAAUUCGAUGCAACGCGAAGAACCUUACCGGGGCUUGACAUGGUAGAAGUAGGAACCCGAAAGGGUAACGAACGGUAUCCAGUCCGUGACUAUCACAGGUGUUGCAUGGCUGUCGUCAGCUCGUGUCGUGAGACGUUGGGUUAAGUCCCCUAACGAGCGAAACCCUUGUUUUUAGUUACCAGCGGGUUAUGCCGGGUACUCUAGAAAGACUGCCGUCGUCAAGACGGAGGAAGGUGGGGAUGACGUCAAGUCAUCAUGGCCCUUAUGCCCCGGGCUGCACACGUGCUACAAUGGUCGGUACAAACGGAAGCGAAGCCGAGAGGUGAAGCGAAUCCAAGC